rnacentral:misc_RNA from 1 species
UCUCUCAAACUAGGGUAAGCCUAGCUACUUGAUUUAUCACUCUGCCUCCUUUUCUGUUUUGAUUUAGCUCAUAUUGAAUCCAAACUUAAGACCAAAUAUAGCUAGGCCUGCAUCCGAUACAUCAUAGACUGAAGAUAGAUGUAUUAUGAAAUCUGCAAGCAACUAAUAUUACUUUUCAAUUCCUUCAGUUUUCAUUGAAGUGUCGCUCUGUUGCUUUCUGUAAACUGUUUUGCAGACUGCCCUUUUGAAGAUGGUGGGAAGACAAAGUAGUUUAACUUGUAUGGAAUAAAGCCAGGUCUUGAUAAUUGAAGAUAGGCUUAAAAGGAAAAGG